AGUCUGGCCUGCCCAAUGAUGGUUUGAAUGGCUGCAGUAUCCUGACUGUACAAAGGUAGCAUAAUAAUUUGUUUUAUAAUUGAAGAAUGGAAUGAAUGGUUUGACAAGGAUGUGGCUGUCUCUCACGUAUUUGUUUGAAGUUAACUUUCAGGUUAAAAGGCUUGGAUUAAAUUAAAGGACGAGAAGACCCUAUUGAGCUUAAAUUGGUAAUGAUGUUAGUGAGGGAUAGUUAAGAUUUACUAUAGAAUUGUGUAGUUUUAGUUGGGGCGACUAAGGGACAGAUGAAGCUCCCUUUAGUAGUGAGUAAAGUUGUUUGUUGAUCCAUUUAUUUUGAAUUAAGAUCAAGCUACCAUAGGGAUAACAGCGUCAUCUUUUUUGAGAGUUCUUAUCGAAAGAAGGGAUUGCGACCUCGAUGUUGGAUUAAGAUUUAAUAAGGGUUGUAGGAGCUUUUAUGAUUAGUCUGUUCGA
rnacentral:rRNA from 1 species